rnacentral:rRNA from 1 species
ACGCUGGCGGCAGGCCUAACACAUGCAAGUCGAACGGUAACAGGAAGCAGCUUGCUGCUUUGCUGACGAGUGGCGGACGGGUGAGUAAUGUCUGGGAAACUGCCUGAUGGAGGGGGAUAACUACUGGAAACGGUAGCUAAUACCGCAUAACGUCGCAAGACCAAAGAGGGGGACCUUCGGGCCUCUUGCCAUCGGAUGUGCCCAGAUGGGAUUAGCUAGUAGGUGGGGUAACGGCUCACCUAGGCGACGAUCCCUAGCUGGUCUGAGAGGAUGACCAGCCACACUGGAACUGAGACACGGUCCAGACUCCUACGGGAGGCAGCAGUGGGGAAUAUUGCACAAUGGGCGCAAGCCUGAUGCAGCCAUGCCGCGUGUAUGAAGAAGGCCUUCGGGUUGUAAAGUACUUUCAGCGGGGAGGAAGGGAGUAAAGUUAAUACCUUUGCUCAUUGACGUUACCCGCAGAAGAAGCACCGGCUAACUCCGUGCCAGCAGCCGCGGUAAUACGGAGGGUGCAAGCGUUAAUCGGAAUUACUGAGCGUAAAGCGCACGCAGGCGGUUUGUUAAGUCAGAUGUGAAAUCCCCGGGGCUCAACCUGGGAACUGCAUCUGAUACUGGCAAGCUUGAGUCUCGUAGAGGGGGGUAGAAUUCCAGGUGUAGCGGUGAAAUGCGUAGAGAUCUGGAGGAAUACCGGUGGCGAAGGCGGCCCCCUGGACGAAGACUGACGCUCAGGUGCGAAAGCGUGGGGAGCAAACAGGAUUAGAUACCCUGGUAGUCCACGCCGUAAACGAUGUCGACUUGGAGGUUGUGCCCUUGAGGCGUGGCUUCCGGAGCUAACGCGUUAAGUCGACCGCCUGGGGAGUACGGCCGCAAGGUUAAAACUCAAAUGAAUUGACGGGGGCCCGCACAAGCGGUGGAGCAUGUGGUUUAAUUCGAUGCAGCGCGAAGAACCUUACCUGGUCUUGACAUCCACGGAAGUUUUCAGAGAUGAGAAUGUGCCUUCGGGAACCGUGAGACAGGUGCUGCAUGGCUGUCGUCAGCUCGUGUUGUGAAAUGUUGGGUUAAGUCCCGCAACGAGCGCAACCCUUAUCCUUUGUUGCCAGCGGUCCGGCCGGGAACUCAAAGGAGACUGCCAGUGAUAAACUGGAGGAAGGUGGGGAUGACGUCAAGUCAUCAUGGCCCUUACGACCAGGGCUACACACGUGCUACAAUGGCGCAUACAAAGAGAAGCGACCUCGCGAGAGCAAGCGGACCUCAUAAAGUGCGUCGUAGUCCGGAUUGGAGUCUGCAACUCGACUCCAUGAAGUCGGAAUCGCUAGUAAUCGUGGAUCAGAAUGCCACGGUGAAUACGUUCCCGGGCCUUGUACACACCGCCCGUCACACCAUGGGAGUGGGUUGCAAAAGAAGUAGGUAGCUUAACCAUGGGGAGGGCGCUUACCACUUUGUGAUU